rnacentral:rRNA from 1 species
AGUGGGGGAUAACAGUUGGAAACGACUGCUAAUACCGCAUACGACAUAAUUAUGACAUCAGAAUAUGUUGAAAGGCCCGUUUGGGUCGCUAGAAGAUGAGGAUGCGGCGUAUUAGCUUGUAGGUGGGGUAAUGGCCUACCUAGGCGAUGAUACGUAGCCGAACUGAGAGGUUGAUCGGCCACAUUGGGACUGAGAUACGGCCCAGACUCCUACGGGAGGCAGCAGUAGGGAAUUUUUCACAAUGGACGAAAGUCUGAUGAAGCAAUGCCGCGUGAGUGAUGAAGGUCUUCGGAUCGUAAAGCUCUGUUGUAAGGGAAGAAAUGUCAGAAGAGGAAAUGCUUUUGAUUUGACGGUACCUUACCAGAAAGCCACGGCUAACUAUGUGCCAGCAGCCGCGGUAAUACAUAGGUGGCAAGCGUUAUCCGGAUUUAUUGGGCGUAUAGGGUGCGUAGGCGGUUUAGUAAGUUUGAGGUUAAAGCCCGGAGCUCAACUCCGGUUCGCCUUGAAAACUGCUUUACUAGAAUACAGGAGAGGUAGAUGGAAUUUCAUGUGUAGCGGUGGAAUGCGUA